rnacentral:rRNA from 2 species
GCCAAGCCCCAGGUCAGACGGGGGCACCCGUUGAGUUUAAGCAUA